UGUGUGAGUGUGUGUGUGUGCUGCUCUGAAUCUGACAGCACGCUGGAGCUGCGUUUCCAAAGAAAAGCUCAGCUCUCUCAGUUUUUCUGCCCGCUCUCAUUGUGUUUGUCGACAGUGAUAAAGAGAGCAGUUGAAGCGGGGGCCUGUUUUGGAAUAAGAAAAGCAUUGCUGUUUUCUGACUUUGAGGGAAGAAAGAAGGGACUCCUCUGGAAUUUCCUCAGGAAUUUAUCCGGACAGCCCCGUCACCGGGGUUUUGCAUUCUUCCGCCUGGCAAUAUAAUGUGACCAACGAUUCCACAGUAGGGAGAUUCUGAGGAGUUCACUUCUUUCAUCACUCUGGUUCGAGGCAGCAAUCGCGAUCAAUUAUUCCAAACUGGUGGGGUCAAAAAGGGGGCAGUUAGUCUCAGUGGUGUGUCGGCGAGGUCAAACUA